rnacentral:lncRNA from 1 species
GCUAGCCAGGUGCCGGCAACUUACCAGAGGGCCGGUGAUGCCCACAUGCUUGAGCGUGUCCACGGGGUGGUCCAGCUCCCGGAGAACGAACGGCGCGCCUUUGAUGUACACCACUGCUUCCUCCCUCAGGUCAGUGAUGACCACUCUCUGCGCUGCGCCGCCGGCGCCCGACUUCGCACCCAGGUACUCGAGCAUCUCCUUCGCCCCAUUCACCGUCGGAGUUGCCAUGCUGUACACAGGGAACCCAGCAGCCUGAACCAGACAGGUAAACUUCUUGGUGAAGAACAUCGAGAGCAGCUGCCAGAUGAGGCCCA